CCGAGUUUACAACUCCCAAACCCCUGUGAACAUACCACUUGUUGCCUCGGCGGAUCAGCCCGCUCCCGGUAAAAACGGGACGGCCCGCCAGAGGACCCCUAAACUCUGUUUUCUAUAUGUAACUUCUGAGUAAAACCAUAAAUAAAUCA
rnacentral:misc_RNA from 1 species